AGGGUUUCGAGCUCUCUCUCGCAUUAGUUAACUCGGAAGAUCAAAACAGGGAUGGCUUAGAACAAGGACUUGCCUAUGUUUAAUCAACUUCCCCUUUGGAUGUUCUCAGUGGCAACGUGCCUCCGCGGAGAAAUACGAAUCACCAUGACUUAUGCCUUCGCCAACACCUGGACUUAAAAAGGCCAGGCAGUAUAAGCUUACAGAUAUAUGCGUCUCAUCAAAGAAAUUGGUGCAUCCAAAGUAUGGAUCGGAUUUAAAACGAACUCUGAUGAGGGUCAUAUGCCUAUUGAUGUAUGUAUAUUCUCUGCAGGGUGCAUGUAAUUCUCGCAAACUUUGUACUUAGUAUCUUGAAAAUAAAACUCAUACAGUAUUAA